UAGUCCAUGCUGUAAACGAUGGAUAUUAGAUGUUUGGGGAGUUAACCCCCUGAGUAUCAAAGCACACGCGUUAAAUAUCCCGCCUGGGGAGUACGGUCGCAAGGCUAAAACUCAAAGGAAUUGACGGGGGCCCGCACAAGCGGUGGAGUAUGUGGUUUAAUUCGAAGCAACGCGCAGAACCUUACCUACUCUUGACAUCCCAGGACGAUUGCAGAGAUGUAAUUUUCACUUCGGUGACCUGGUGACAGGUGCUGCAUGGCUGUCGCCAGCUCGUGUCGUAAGAUGUUCGGUUAAGUCCGGCAACGAGCGCAACCCUUACCAUUAGUUACCAUCAUUAAGUUGGGGACUCUAGUGGAACUGCCCGUGUUAAGCGGGAGGAAGGCGGGGAUGACGUCAAGUCCUCAUGGCCCUUACGAGUAGGGCUACACACGUACUACAAUGGCAGAGACAGAGUGUUGCGAGACCGUGAGGUUUAGCUAAUCACAAAAUACUGCCUCAGUUCAGA
rnacentral:rRNA from 1 species